rnacentral:sRNA from 1 species
GCUGGGCACAGUGGUGCAUGCCUGUAAUCCCAGCAGCUUGGGAGGCUGAGGCAGGAGGAUCACAAAUUCAAAGCCAAACAUAGCAACUUAGCAAGGCCUUAAGCAACUCAGUGAGACCCUGUCUUUU